ACCUUCGGGCCUCAUGCCAUCAGAUGUGCCCAGAUGGGAUUAGCUAGUAGGUGGGGUAACGGCUCACCUAGGCGACGAUCCCUAGCUGGUCUGAGAGGAUGACCAGCCACACUGGAACUGAGACACGGUCCAGACUCCUACGGGAGGCAGCAGUGGGGAAUAUUGCACAAUGGGCGCAAGCCUGAUGCAGCCAUGCCGCGUGUGUGAAGAAGGCCUUCGGGUUGUAAAGCACUUUCAGCGGGGAGGAAGGCGUUAAGGUUAAUAACCUUGGCGAUUGACGUUACCCGCAGAAGAAGCACCGGCUAACUCCGUGCCAGCAGCCGCGGUAAUACGGAGGGUGCAAGCGUUAAUCGGAAUUACUGGGCGUAAAGCGCACGCAGGCGGUCUGUCAAGUCGGAUGUGAAAUCCCCGGGCUCAACCUGGGAACUGCAUUCGAAACUGGCAGGCUAGAGUCUUGUAGAGGGGGGUAGAAUUCCAGGUGUAGCGGUGAAAUGCGUAGAGAUCUGGAGGAAUACCGGUGGCGAAGGCGGCCCCCUGGACAAAGACUGACGCUCAGGUGCGAAAGCGUGGGGAGCAAACAGGAUUAGAUACCCUGGUAGUCCACGCCGUAAACGAUGUCGAUUUGGAGGUUGUGCCCUUGAGGCGUGGCUUCCGGAGCUAACGCGUUAAAUCGACCGCCUGGGGAGUACGGCCGCAAGGUUAAAACUCAAAUGAAUUGACGGGGGCCCGCACAAGCGGUGGAGCAUGUGGUUUAAUUCGAUGCAACGCGAAGAACCUUACCUGGUCUUGACAUCCACAGAACUUUCCAGAGAUGGAUUGGUGCCUUCGGGAACUGUGAGACAGGUGCUGCAUGGCUGUCGUCAGCUCGUGUUGUGAAAUGUUGGGUUAAGUCCCGCAACGAGCGCAACCC
rnacentral:rRNA from 3 species